ACAGACCUCAAGUUGAAGCCGUUACGAAGUGUAUAAAAACAACUAAUUAGAUCCUAGUAGUCCACUUUCAACAGCGGAGCCCUAGAGGCUUCGUCACGACAACUAUUUCCUGCCUCCUUCAUAUAUUCACGUCUCCAUGGUGACCAGAAACCAUAUGCUUUCAUGUUCUUUCUCUUUUCUCAAGAUAACAAAAUAAAGACUUCCUUGCAUUCA